GGCAUCUAUCCGGCUAGCCAUAAGGCUGCGCCAAGACCGGGAAUUUUGAAGAUUCAUGCCCAGAGAAGAGCUCUCCAACAACAGUUUGCCGGCGUGAUAACUUAAGGCCAAGUAGACACGUCCGACUGGACUUUGAAAGUCAAGACCCCAGUCCUCCAAAGAAACAAGCCUUCCAAAAUCUCCCUAAGACCCCUGAUGUCUCUGGACCGUCCAACAUCAGCCGCUCUCUUCUGCGUGACCUGUUGGUUAACCAACAAAUCCUGAUGGACCAGCAAAAGACCAUGAUACGCAUGAUCCAAGACCUCCACAGAUCUAUCCAGGGAGGUCAGAAGAUGUCCACCACCUCCAGCCAUACUGCCUAUUUUCCGCUAGGGGAUAAACUGGCUCUGGAGGCCCUGGAGGGCGACCUGGCAAGCCAGCGGGACCUUCGUCAGGAAUUGAUGCAGUGAGGCGCAAUCCAUCCUGUUCAAUCGCAAACGGAUGUGCAAAUUUGCGGAUGCCAUUAAACAAUGGUUUUACUGGGCUGGGGAUAGGGAGGGAGGAAGGAAAAAACACCAGCCGGCUCCAAACCAGGAGCAAACUGAUUAAAUCGAAUAAAAGAUACUACUUUAAAAUAUUUUGUUUAAUUAUUUGUGCAUUAUACACAUAGAAAAUAAAUUAACAAUGUAACUUAUGAGGUUUGGGUCAGUUAUUGGGAUCACUUUGGGUCAGUUAUGGCUUCUUUUUGGCAAUGGUCUGGGGAUUUUGGCCACUCUUAGGGAUACUUCUGGCUACAUUUUGGUAUUCCAAAAUUGGUUUUGGCUGGGUUUUGGCCUUUUGGCACAAAUUUGGGCCGUACAUCAUUCCAAAGCAUUGCAAAAAUGGCAUGCCAGUUUUGGGCCAUAAGAUUUUUGCUAUAUGGUUAGAGGCUAGGUGCUUGCUAGGUGUAUUAAUUUCAAAAAUAACUGUUGCUCAGCAAUGAUGGGAAAUACUAUCAAAUGUAUUAUUUAUACCAGCAUGAAUUUUACCGUACAUGCAGGCCUAUAAACACACCUUGCCCACUGCAUCCGUCCGUUGACGGAUCUCAUUGACUUUGCAUUGGGCGAUCCUGAAAUGGAUUGUGGGUCCGUCCGUUCCAUCGGCUCCAUCUCUUGCGUUCAGAAGUUGAGAAAAUUUCAACUUUUCGGGCUGCAACGAAUCCGUCAGCCAAUCAGAUCGUGGCUCCGUCGGGAAAUACCACUCCCCCAUCCGUCAGACACGCCUUCCGUCGUCCAUUGCGUCUGCCGUGUAUUCCCGCCGAUGUGGCAAUGCUGUAUGGUUAUGCUAUUGAGAGCCUAAAUAAAUGGACUACAAGUUAAUU